rnacentral:antisense_RNA from 1 species
UGAGGCGCCUGGUCCUGGGGACCUCUUUCCACUCUUUACUCUCAAGAUAGGAGGAUGGGUCUGGGGGAUUGUUUUUGGUUUUCUGGUUUUGUUUUACUCUGGUUUGGUCGGUUUUGUAUUUUUCUAUUUUUCCUUUUUUUCCCUUUUUUCUUUUUUGAUUUUUCUUUCCCGUUAUUCUCCCAGCCAAAAGCUACCUUCGACCCUUUUGAUUUGAUGUAGCAAAGAGUGUGUGUCCAGAUUAUCUGAAAUUGACACUGAAGAAGAUUCCCACACCAGCUACACAGAUGGUCAGGCAGAGUGUCCCAGGAUCCGGAGAUGGUCAGCCCGGCAGGACCCGGGCCGCUCAGACCUUGUGGCUUUUUGCUGAGGCCGCAGAAUGAGGACAGCGGACGGAUGAGGACCUGGACUUUACCAGCGCACAGACAGAGCAAAAGGAGACAGGAGACUGACAGGACAGAAAAGAGCUUUUGCUUUUUCUACAUUUUGUUUUUGUUUUGUUUUUUCCUGAUAGUCCCACAAAGCUGAAGGUCGGCGGGUCGGGUGGAGCGGGUUUAUCUUGCUGCUUGGGCUGUCUCAGGUGGCAGUGGCUUCCCUCCGAGGCCACUCUCUGCUGCCACUGCUCGGCCCAGGCCAGGGUUCAGGCUAGAGCGCGGAUGCCGGGAAGUUGCUGGGCCGGACCUCGCGGGGCUCCGAGGAGAUGGAGGGCGUCCCGCCUCCACUGUUCCUUCUUCCCUCUGGGUCCUUCUUUUCCGGA